rnacentral:rRNA from 1 species
AUACGUAGGUGGCGAGCGUUAUCCGGAUUUACUGGGUGUAAAGGGCGCGUAGGCGGGGAUGCAAGUCAGAUGUGAAAUCUAUGGGCUCAACUCAUAAACUGCAUUUGAAACUGUAUUUCUUGAGUACUGGAGAGGUAGACGGAAUUCCUUGUGUAGCGGUGAAAUGCGUAGAUAUAAGGAAGAACACCAGUGGCGAAGGCGGUCUACUGGACAGCAACUGACGCUGAGGCGCGAAAGCGUGGGGAGCAAACAGGAUUAGAUACCCUGGUAGUCCACGCUGUAAACGAUGAAUACUAGGUGUGGGGAGACUGACCCUUUCCGUGCCGCAGUUAACACAAUAAGUAUUCCACCUGGGGAGUACGGCCGCAAGGUUGAAACUCAAAUGAAUUGGCGGGG